rnacentral:rRNA from 1 species
CACGAAGGGGGCUAGCGUUGCUCGGAAUCACUGGGCGUAAAGCGCACGUAGGCGGAUUGUUAAGUCAGGGGUGAAAUCCUGGAGCUCAACUCCAGAACUGCCUUUGAUACUGGCGAUCUUGAGUCCGGGAGAGGUGAGUGGAACUGCGAGUGUAGAGGUGAAAUUCGUAGAUAUUCGCAAGAACACCAGUGGCGAAGGCGGCUCACUGGCCCGGUACUGACGCUGAGGUGCGAAAGCGUGGGGAGCAAACAGG